GUAAAAGGAGUGUGAUUUUCUAAAGACAAGGGAAGGAAGUGUUUCAAGAAGGAAAGUGUGGACAGGAAUGUGAACUGUUGCAGAGAACUGGAGUAAAAUAAGAACAAGAAGUAGUUUUUAGAUUUGGCACCUUGACUGUAAUUGGUGCAUAAGGAAGGAGGUCAGUUUAAAAAUUCUGAGGGUUGAAGAAUGAGUGGGAGAUGAAGAAACAGUGAGUAGGUUGCUUUUUCCAAAAACUUGGCUAUUACGGAAAAAAGGGUGAAUGCCAUAGGACUUCUCAGGGCAGAAGACUAACCUUUUGUUUGUCUGUUUACUGUUUUUUAUUUCCUUUCAGGUGGAAAGACUUGAGUGUUUGUAUACAGCAAGAUAACUUCAACAUAUACUCACCACUCCCUAAACAAAUAAGAUGCUUCCGACCUUGUCAGAAACAAUAAAGAGUGAGAAA